AGCUCCAAUAGCGUAUAUUAAAGUUGUUGCGGUUAAAAAGCUCGUAGUUGGAUUUCUGUCGAAGACGGUCGGUCCGCUCUAUGAGCGUGCAUCUGAUUCGGCUUUGGCAUCCUCGUGGGGAACGUAACUGUGCUUGAUUGCAUGGUGCGGAAUUCACGACUUUUACUUUGAGGAAAUUAGAGUGUUCACGGCAGGCAAGCGCCUUGAAUAUAUUAGCAUGGAAUAAUGCUGUAAGACCAUGGUAUUGCUGUGUUGGUUUCUAUCACCUAAGGUAAUGAUAAACAGGGAUAGUUGGGGGCAUUCGUAUUUAACUGUCAGAGGUGAAAUUCUUGGAUUUGUUAAAGACGAACGACUGCGAAAGCAUUUGCCAAGGAUGUUUUCA
rnacentral:rRNA from 1 species